AGAGGUAGAGGGGAGAGAAGGGGAGAUCUCACAGAGAGGCAGAAGGAGGCAGUGCUGAAGGUAAAGCAGUGUGGUGUGGACGUAGAGAAGCGAGCAGGAGCAGCCAUUGGGACUGCGUUAACAUGCAUUCUAAUCGCUUUCUCGUUAAGCCGCGGAAGGGAGGGUUGACUAAUGAGUCUCGCCGAAAAAAAAAAACGCCUGUGGUUGACGGCGAUGGAGUCGCGUA